rfam:Microgenomates (Levybacteria) bacterium GW2011_GWB1_37_8 TS59_C0023, whole genome shotgun sequence.
CGGGAUGUCGUAUAACGGUAGUACGCCGCGCUGGGGGUGCGGUAGCCAGGGUCCAAUUCCCUGCAUCCCGA